CACGUAGGGCGCAAGCGUUGUCCGGAAUUAUUGGGCGUAAAGAGCUCGUAGGCGGUCUGUUGCGUCUGCUGUGAAAACCCGGGGCUUAACCCCUGGCUUGCAGUGGAUACGGACAGACUAGAGGUAGGUAGGGGUGAAUGGAAUUCCUGGUGUAGCGGUGAAAUGCGCAGAUAUCAGGAGGAACACCGGUGGCGAAGGCGGGUCUCUGGGCCGAUAUUGACGCUGAGGAGCGAAAGCGUGGGGAGCGAACAGG
rnacentral:rRNA from 1 species